GACGAAGGGGGCUAGCGUUGUUCGGAAUUACUGGGCGUAAAGCGCGUGUAGGGGGUUAUCCAAGUCGGGUGUGAAAGCCUUGAGCUCAACUCAAGAAAUGCACUCGGUACUGGGUGACUAGAGGACCGGAGAGGAUAGUGGAAUUCCCAGUGUAGUGGUGAAAUACGUAGAGAUUGGGAAGAACACCAGUGGCGAAGGCGGCUAUCUGGACGGUUUCUGACGCUAAGACGCGAAAGCGUGGGGAGCAAACAGG
rnacentral:rRNA from 1 species